GAUGAACGCUGGCGGCGUGCCUAAUACAUGCAAGUCGAGCGAACGGACGAGAAGCUUUCUUCUCUGAUGUAAGCGCCAGCCGGGUGAUUAACACUUGGAUACCCUACCUAUACUACUGGGAUAACUUCGGGAAGCCGGGCCUAAUCCCGGAUAAUAUUUUGAGCCGCAUGGUUCAACAGUGAAAGACGGUCUUUCUGUCACUUAUAGAUGGGUCCGCGCUGCCUGACCUAGUUGUUAAGGUAACGGCUUACCACGGCAACGAUGCAUAGCGGACGUGCGAGGGGGGUUGGCGACACUGGAACUGAGAAGAGGUCCAGACGCCUACGGGAGGCAGCAGUAGGGAAGGGUCCGCAAUGGGCGACAGCCUGACGGAGCAACGCCGUGGGAGUGAUGAAGGUCUUCGGAGCGUAAUAAUCCGCUAUUAGGGAUGAACAUAUGUCUAAGUAACGGGGUACAGCUGGACGGAACCGAAUCAGAAAGCCACGGCUAACUACGUG
rnacentral:rRNA from 1 species